CUGAUCUCACUUGUACGUGGUUGACUGAGUGGAGGAGCCGCUCCCUCGCCAUCAGCGGGUGUGAUAGGUUCAAUGAGCUGCUCGUGUUUGUUUCAACAGGAACAAUCGUCGUCUCGGAAACACGAGUUCAGAAUCGAAGCAAACUACUGAAAGAAAAAAAACCCGCUGGUACAGAGACUGAAAGAAGGCAAAGGCUUGUCAGACAGGUGGGGGCCACCACCACCUCCCCUCUCCCCCUCUGAGGAGCUGGCUCCGUCCAUAAAGGUCCGGUGGGAAAAAUAACAUCGGUCUCUAGGAGGCUCCCAGGGCUCAUGUGCAAAGUGCAACACUGAAAGAUGACGCAUCUGGUAACAUAGUUUCACUCCUGGAGCCACCAGACCAUGAUCCCCUAGAGGCAAGCACAUCUGCAACGGUGGAACGAACUUCUGCGGAUGAGAGACCGUGUCACAUUCCAUAAUGGAUAAUAAUUCAGUGUAGCAGUGCUGAUAGAAAGGUUCUUUGUAACAGAAGGACCCACUCUGCAGGCUGAGAUGCAAGCUGGAAACAUAAAUUAAAUGUGCAAUUAUGCACAAAUCCAACUUCACUAAAUAAUGUUUUACAGAAUUCGCAAACAGUCAGAUGUCUCUACGCCACACAUCUGAGGAGACAGAUACACCUGAGUUAACUGCAGAUCAGGAAGAAGAAGAGAAAGCUGAAAGAAAUGGACCUCGGGUGUGAUGUGCAGAUAAAGCGCAAGACACUGAGGAAACAGGAUUGGAAAUCCAGAUAUUAAUAAGAGAUGCAAUUGAUUUCAGUUCACACUAACCAUGACUGUAACACAAUGCAUUUACUCAUGUUAUUGUUUCCUCUAAAGCUCCAAGCUGAAAAGUGACCACAACGCAAAAAAUGAAUGAAACCUGAAACUGUGCUCUGUCGUUGUUGUAGAUGUCUUGUACACUAUUGAUUAGAUAAAGUGAAACUAAAGUUUGAGGAUGUAAUCAGUGUGUGCUGCUGGUUCUCAGAAAACGGAGAGUACACAUGAAAUGAGUGACACAUUAUCCUUUAUUCAAGGACAGGCUACAUCAAAACAGUUAACUGAAAUAAUUCAGUAUGUACUGCUCUCUGACCAGUCUACCAUUUUUGUCACCUGGAAAAAUGGCUACAUUGUCCCAGUCAAUAUCAUUACCAAUCCUUGGAGCUCUCUCUUUUCUCAGGCUGGCAAUAUUAUGGAGCACAGUACAGGCCACAGUCAUGUCACAAGCCCAUAGGUCAUUUGGAUCCGAGCCCUUGUUCUGGCGUGAGCAUGUUUGUAGGUCUGUUGUGCUGGGGUUUGGGAAUCUGCCAGGCGUGUCAGCAGGAAUGUGUCACAGGCACAGCCCUUGUCACCUAGCAGCACAUCAAAUAGCUCACCUGUGAAUAUAAAGUCAUUCUUAGAACUAGCUGGGAAAAUCUUCUGAUGUGUGCUUAAAAAUCGGAGGUGGAUUACCUAGUCUAUUUGACCAAAAAAUUGUGGAGUCAUGGACUGAGCCAGGCCACUUUGCCUCAAAAUUUGUAAUAAGGCAGUCUGCAUCACAGAUCAUCUAACAUGUAGGCAGUUAUUUAAUUUAUGUAGAACUGAUACUAACCUUCAUUUGUUCUUACCUGAACAUUGAUAAUGCUGGAAUGAGGUACAGGAUACACGAGGUACACAUACACAACGAUCUGGCAGAGAGCUAUGGUGAGUACUGACGGUUAAAUACCAAGGUGAUUACAGAUUGAUGACAGCUGAACUAACAUGGCCAGAAGUAAAGACUGAACUAACCAUGAGAUGACAGAAACCAGAUGUACACACAAAAUAAAACAGGAAAUGAAUACAAAGACCGCAGAUCAUGGCAGUAAAAUAACAGUAUGCAUGACCAGAUUAAUAUAUAUAUAACUUUACUUAACUUUUAAAAACUUUACAUUCAGCCAGGAUAACCGGAAAAUCCUAGCUUAAUCUCUUAUCCUACAGUACUUUUGUGCAACAGCUCCGAAGUCAGAAUUAAUUUGUUUUUGUUGUGUUAUUGGUUAAUAAUUAUAUUUAUUCAUGGUAUUUUAUUAUGAGUGUAUUAUGUUUAAUGUAUGGUUCGUUUCUGUUCAUCAUUUUUAUGGACAGAAUUUCUGGGCACAGCCAGGGGCCGGAGGGGGUCUGGUUUGGGGACCACAGGAUAGCAUCUCUGCUUUUUGCAGAUGAUGAUGUCCUGUUGGCUUCAUCGGGCCAGGACCUCCAGCGUGUGCUGGUGCGGUUUGCAACUGAGUGUGAAGCGGUUGGGAUGAGAAUCAGUUCCUCCAAAUCUGAGGCCAUGGUUCUCGACCGGAAAAAGGUGGUUUGCUCUCUCCAGGUUGGAGGAGAGUUCCUACCCCAAGUGGAGGAGUUCGAGAAUCUUGGGGUCUUGUUCACAAGUGAAGGAAGGAAGGAGCGUGAGAUUGACAGACGGAUCGGUGCAGUGGCUGCAGUAAUGCGGUCGGUGCAUCUGUCCAUCAUGGUGAAAAGGCAAAGCUCUCAAUUUACCAGCCAAUCUACGUUCCUUCCCUCACCUACUGUAUGGUCAUGAGCUUUGGGUCAUGACGAAAGGGCACGGUCACGGAUACAAGCGGCUGAAAUGAGCUUCCUUCACAGGGUGGCUGGGCGCUCCCUUAGAGAUAAGGUGAGGAGCUCUGCCACCCGGGAGGAGCUCAGAGUAGAGUCGCUGCUCCUCCACAUCGAGAGGAGAGAAGGUGUUCCUGGAAUGUCCCACCGGUAGGAGGCCCAGAGGAAGACCCAGGAAAGGUUGUCUCCUGGCUGGUCUGGGAACGCCUUGGGGUCCCACCGGAAAAGCUGGAGGAAGUGUCAGGGGAGAGGGAAUCCUGGAACUCUCUGCUCAGACUGCUGCCCCCGCGACCCAGCCCCGGAAAGGCGGGCGGACGGACGGACGGACGGACGGACGGACGGACGGACGGACGGACGGACGGAUGGAUGGAUGGAACAUUUUUUAUGGAUGCCUAUAUGGACAAACAACAACAAAAUGUUGCCUCUAAUUAUAGUAUCCCAAUAAACUUGUAUUAGGCCAUGCCCUUUGAAAAUAGUCAUAUUGAUUUCAUUUAGAGUAGAGUAAAUACACAAUACCUAACAGGCAAGGUCAGAACCAGGAUAGCUACGGCGACGGUACCAAAGGGCUAGGCUGAGACAAGGUCCACAAACAGGCAAGGUCUGGCAACAAGGUCUAUACACGAGAAUCGCUGGAAAGAGGAAAUGCAUCACUACAAUCUGGUAGUCUGAGGUGAGUACUGGUAAAUACCUGAACUGAUUGUCUAUUGCUGACAGGUGAUGUGAAACCGACCGGAAGUAAAACUAGCACAUGACAUGGGAGGACAACAAAAAAACGGAAGUAAGUGCAAAAGAAAACAAAAAAUGACAAUGAUGUCCACACUACAAAUAUGACAGAACUCAGCUGGACUGUGUUCUAUGCAGGAGAUAGUGUAGCUAGACGCUACGGGAUUUAUAGGAUGAUAUCAGGACAGGAUUAUUAGGAAAGAAAACAUACUGUACUGUAAGUGUGUCAGGCACAACUAGAGCUGGUGAUGAAAAUUAAGGACUGUCCUUCUACAGUAGAUGGCUCCAGAAGCUCCAUAUUAUGUAUAAGAGUCAACACAUGUAAAAAAAAAACUUGUGGAGAAAGAGGAAACUGAGAGACUAUUUUUGAAGUAGGACUUUUUUUUUUUUUUUUUACUUCCGCCUCUCGAGGAGUGCAGACGUGUUUUCUCUCUGCUCCCACUCUGCUUUUGCUUGCAGUGUCCUUGUCUUGUCUUUUUCUGAGCACCCUGAUCUGCUAUUCUGGAAUAAAAUUUUUGAACAUGACCAAGUUGCCCACGGCUAAGGGGACGGCGGAGCUACUAAUUGUCCAUGUGUUUCGUGUGCAUGGCAUCCCAGAGGACAUUCUGUCUGAUUGCGGUCCGCAGUUUGUCGCAGCAGUUUGGCGGGAUUUUUGUGCAGCGCUGGGUGUCUCCGCCAGCUUGUCUUCUGGUUUCCAUCCUCAAACCAACGGACAGACAGAGCGCAAAAAUCAGGACGUGGAGACUAUGCUGCGGUGUAUGUGAUCCACCAGGCCGGCGUCUUGGGUCCGGCAGCUUCCUUGGGUCGAAUACGCCCAUAAUACUCUUCCUUUCCAGGCGCUGGGAUGUUCCCCUUUUGAGGCUGGCUAUGGCUAUAAGCCCCCGUUGUUUCCCUCUCAGCAGGUCCAGGGGCUGGACGGGUCGGUGGGAGCCGACCCGUCCAGCCCCUGGCAUCCGGCGGUGCAAGGCGGUUUGGACCAGGACCCGUGACUUCCUUCUCCGCGGCCAGACGAGAGCAGCCAUAUGGGCUAACCGCCGUCGGUCUCCAGCUCCAGAGUAUCGAGUCGGGGACAAGGUCUGGCAUUCCACCUGGAACCUGCAGCUGAAGGGUGCUAAGUGGACCGUUGGGGGUGACCAGGGUGGUCAACCCUGCGGCGAUGAGACUGGCCCUCCCUCCCUCCCUGCGCGUUCAUCCUGUCUUUCAUGUGUCCUGUUUGAAGCCGGUGGUGGACUGUGAUCUGGCGCCCGCCUCCGACCGCCCUCCGCCCGCCUGGGUGAUCGACGGGGGUCUGGCUAACGGUGCAGGAGUUGUUGCACUCCAGACGGCGGGGCAGGGGGCUCCAGUACCUGGUGGAAUGGGAGGGCUAUGGCCCCGAACACCGGCAGUGGAUGGCGCAGAGGUUCAUCUUGGACAAGGGUCUCAUCAGGGACUUUCAUCAGAACCAUCCUGCGGAACCCUCCUAGGUCGCCGGGGGACGACCGUUGAGGGAGGGGCUCUGUUGUGAGUCUCCUCCCAACCUCAGAGGGCGGCACUGAGCAGCUGUUCCUUCCGGGAACAUCAUUAACUGGGGGACUAUUUAAGUGGAGGAUGGAGACUCCUCCAGUUUUCAGUGUGUCAUGGUGGACUCUCUGUUUGCAUCUGGCUUCCUGUAUGACGGUUGGUUUUUUGUUUAGUUUGGAUUGUGAACAGCCCUAUUACUCCUAAAUUUGGCUACGUUUGUAGAGCGAUGUAGCGCCUGGCUCUGUAGUGUGUGAUAGCUUUGUUACUCUUUGUUAUAUUUUGCCUACUCAGUGCAGUGACCUAUUGUGUCCUGAUUUUGUUUGGAAGUUCCUUCUGUGUAGUAUUAUUCCUCUGUCUAGUUUGUUUGGUCCUGCUUCGCAGUGCUCCUCAGUUUAGUUGAUGAACCUUUUUCUACUCUGUAGUGAUUCUUUGUUUUGUGUAGUAAUAUUAAAAAUCGUUUUGUAUUCUGCCAUCCUCGCCUGUUACUGCUUGUGGGUUCCGUUUUGUCUGGUCUUGGGUGUUUGUAACACUCCCAUCACCUCCUAUUGUUCAUGCACCAAUGUCUGCCUCACCCUUUGGAUGAACAAUGUUGUUACAGCUUUACUAAUCUUGGGACACUCAACACCAGAACUGAUAAACAGGCUUUCUAAACUUAGUUGUACCGAAGUGCUACUGUUACUUAUUACUAUCACUAUUAAUAAUGUGUGAUUAUUGUUGUUGUGAUGUUGUAUGUCACGGCUAUUAUUGAAGUAUUAUGUGAUUAUGUAUAAUAAUGCAUAUGCAUAGGUGUAUGUAUCUGUGUGUAUGAGUGUAUGCACAUACCUUAACACUAUUGUUACAGUAGUAUUAAAAUUAAUUUAACAGUUAA